rnacentral:tRNA from 1 species
ACUCAUCUAGCUCAGUCGGUAGAGUGCAAGGCUUUUAACCUUGAGGUUCUGGGUUUGAGUCCCAUGGUGGGCG